CUUGUAAGUCCUGUUUACAAUCAUGUUAAUAUUUCACUAGGGCUUAAAAUUCAACACCAUUGACAAGGUGCAAACUUCAUUCUUGACUGCCCCAAAGGCAUUGCUACAACUUGUGCGCCUUCAGUUUGCUCUCACAUGCCAGCAUGCUGUAGGCAGGUACGGGACAAACACGUGCAGGGCUGUGCCUCUCCUGCCACUUUCACCACCCUCCAGACUGAUGUGGGCUGUACCUGCUGAGAGCAGGGCAGCAGCUGGAUUUACAUUAGAUCCUUCCAGCUUCGGGUGAUUGACUCAGCCCAUUUCACAGAACUGAGACGCUUCUGAAGAAAACUCAAUGGAAUAUACACACAAAUCGCUGGCAAUCAGCGAAGCAGUAGCAGUUCAUGGAGCUGCCCUUCACAAACCUUGAAGUAGCUUUCAUCUUGCUGGCUUUUGUAAUUUUCACCUUGUUUACCCUGGCUUCUAUCUACAGUGACUCCCAUGACAACAGAGAAGAGAAAAGCUACACACAGGAAGAAUACAAGAAAAGGAGCACAUCCAACAAGAAAAAGAAGCAUUCAAAUGUGACUGAAGUGGUUUAGAAUAUUACCCAAGUCCACUGUUGGAAACACUUCUGAAAGAGGUAUCCCUGGAAGCUGGUCACCUGAAGACAGUGAGAAAACAGAUGUGAGAAAGGAAGGACCUGGUCAUCCAUCAGACGGAAUCCAGACGUGACAAUUAGAGUUAAUGAACCACGACCCAUGAAGCUGCUUCAGCACCUUUUUAUAGCCCCACUUCAUGGCCUUCAUAAAAGUACCAGGGCUUAUUUUACAGAGCACAUCUGCUCUAAAUUCUGUAAGAAGAAACUUUACAUUCAGAAGUUAUUUUUUGUUUCUUCACCACUUUUCAUAAAUAUUUAACAGCAAUGUAUUUACUUUUUACCUGCUCAGUCAACAGAAUAUCAGAAUUGGAAGAUUUUUUUUUUACAAUAAAACAAUAUUAUUAUAAUAGUUAGUUAGUUUGCAUUAGCAUUAAUAUGCUGUUGAGGCUGACUGAAAAAUACCAGGCAAAUGUGUUUUUUUUUAUUUCUCCAGUCCCAUGGCAUCUAUAUCCAAGCAUUGCCUUUGAUUUCAAACAUUUAGAAAUAGUGUGCUUUACAAAAAUCAGGUUGAUUUACUGCUUUUGCAGAGUGCCUCACUCAGCCUUUGUAUGGAAGUCUUCAGCUUCUCCACAGAGCAGAUACAACUAAUGAAGCAAUACCUCUUCCUCCCUGAAGUCCAGAAGAUCAGCUGAACUUCUAAGGCUGAGGUUGGAACUGAUCCUUCUUGCCUUAUGGACAAAGCACUUCUGCAGUUUUUGUAUCCUAUUCAUUCCCCUAGGUCUCAACCAGUGCUACACCCAUACUGCUGCUUCUCUCCACAAGCAAAAAGAAGCAAAGGGAAGGACAAAGUAGCUCACAGACUAAUUGUAGAAAACUCCCUCUUGCAUACUAGGAUAUGACUGGAAGAACUCUGGGCUGGGCUACAAGGUAUAAUAUGCAUAGGAUAGAAGUAAUUUUUUUCCUCACCACAGUGACCUGAAUAAAAAUAUCCUGUUGUAUCACAUUGACCCUGUUGUAUCACAAAAAUUCAGAUGGCAAUAGCUGAGCAGCCUAAUUAUGAAGCACUACUUUCAUAGUCUCAGUGUUCUUCAGGAAAGAGAAUGCCUUCUGAUAUUAACCACUAAUUUAAAAAAUAAUCAAUCUGCAUAUUAAUCCCUGACCAAGUAAAUGCUAGAGCCAUUUGCUGGAAGAAUACAUGUAUUUUGUUAAGAUACUAUUCAUCAGCCAAGGUGUGAUGUGUAUACAG